rnacentral:rRNA from 1 species
GGGGGGGGCAAGCGUUGUUCGGAAUUACUGGGCGUAAAGGGCUCGUAGGCGGCCAACUAAGUCAGACGUGAAAUCCCUCGGCUUAACCGGGGAACUGCGUCUGAUACUGGAUGGCUUGAGUUCGGGAGAGGGAUGUGGAAUUCCAGGUGUAGCGGUGAAAUGCGUAGAUAUCUGGAGGAACACCGGUGGCGAAGGCGGCAUCCUGGACCGACACUGACGCUGAUGAGCGAAAGCCAGGGGAGCAAACGGGAUUAGAUACCCCGGUAGUCCUGGCCCUAAACGAUGAAUGCUUGGUGUGGCGGGUAUCGAUCCCUGCCGUGCCGAAGCUAACGCAUUAAGCAUUCCGCCUGGGGAGUACGGUCGCAAGGCUG